rnacentral:rRNA from 1 species
UGACCUCAAAUCAGGUAGGACUACCCGCUGAACUUAAGCAUAUCAAUAAGCGGAGGAAAAGAAACUAACAAGGAUUCCCCUAGUAACUGCGAGUGAAGCGGGAAAAGCUCAAAUUUAAAAUCUGGCGGUCUUUUGGCUGUCCGAGUUGUAAUCUAGAGAAGUGUUAUCCGCGCUGGACCGUGUACAAGUCUCCUGGAAUGGAGCAUCAUAGAGGGUGAGAAUCCCGUCUUUGACAUGGACUGCCAGGGCUUUGUGAUGCGCUCUCAAAGAGUCGAGUUGUUUGGGAAUGCAGCUCAAAAUGGGUGGUAAAUUCCAUCUAAAGCUAAAUAUUGGCGAGAGACCGAUAGCGAACAAGUACCGUGAGGGAAAGAUGAAAAGAACUUUGGAAAGAGAGUUAAACAGUACGUGAAAUUGCUGAAAGGGAAACGCUUGAAGUCAGUCGCGUCAUCCAGGGAUCAACCUUGCUUUUGCUUGGUGCACUUUCUGGUUUGAUGGGUCAGCAUCAAUUUCGACUAUUGGAAAAAGGCUCUAGGGAAUGUGGCAUCUUUGGAUGUGUUAUAGCCCUUGGUCGUAUACAAUGGUUGGGAUUGAGGAACUCAGCACGCCGCAAGGCCGGGUUUUUAACCACGUACGUGCUUAGGAUGCGC